GUGUCAGCAGCCGCGGUAAGACGAACCACCCAAACGUUAUUCGGAAUCACUGGGCUUAAAGCGUGCGUAGGCGGCCUUGAAAGUUAGGUGUGAAAUCCCACAGCUCAACCGUGGAACUGCGCUUAAAACUACAAGGCUAGAGGGAUAUAGAGGUGAGCAGAACAGAUGGUGGAGCGGUGAAAUGCGUUGAUAUCAUCUGGAAUACCGGAGGCGAAGGCGGCUCACUGGGUAUCUUCUGACGCUGAGGUACGAAAGCUAGGGGAGCGAACGGGAUUAGAUACCCCGGUAGUCC
rnacentral:rRNA from 1 species